AUUAAAGGAAAUGCCGCAGUGCAUUCAGGGACAGCAGAUACCCGAGAGAGGUCAGAGAAACACAGAUUGCGCAAGAUGUCGGUCGUUUGUCUAUCGUCUUUGGGUCGCUGUAGUACGGUGGCAUUCCGUUCUUCCACUGGAAUGGUGGCAGUUCGGUACGCCCAGACAGCGGCGGCCACAGCACCCCAGCCCAGAGUCAAGAAGUUCCAGGUGUACCGCUGGGACCCAGACACGGUUGGGGAUAAGCCCCGCAUGCAGACCUUUGAGGUUGAUCUCAACACCUGUGGCCCCAUGGUAUUGGACGCCCUCAUCAAGAUAAAGAAUGAGAUGGACGGCACUCUGACCUUCCGUCGCUCCUGCAGAGAGGGUAUCUGUGGAUCCUGUGCAAUGAACAUCAAUGGAGGCAACACACUGGCCUGUCUGAACAAGAUUGACACCAACACCAGCAAGGCUACCAAGAUCUACCCUCUGCCACACAUGUAUGUGGUCAAAGAUCUGGUCCCUGACAUGAGUAAUUUCUAUGCUCAGUACAAGUCAAUCGAGCCCUACCUGAAGAAGAAGGAUGAGACAAAUGAGGGAAAGGAACAGUACCAUCAGACUGUGGAGGACAGACAAAAACUGGACGGGCUGUAUGAAUGUAUUCUGUGUGCGUGCUGCAGCACCAGCUGCCCCAGCUACUGGUGGAAUGGAGACAAGUACCUGGGACCUGCUGUCCUCAUGCAGGCCUACCGUUGGAUGAUCGACUCGAGAGACGAGUUCACAGAGGAGCGUCUCUCCAAGCUGCAGGAUCCUUUCUCUCUCUACCGCUGUCACACCAUCAUGAACUGCACUAAGACCUGCCCCAAGGGCCUGAACCCAGGGAAGGCAAUUGCAGAGAUUAAGAAGAUGAUGGCCACUUACAAGGAGAAGAAAUCAGCUGUUGCUUGAACUCUGGGGUCAUGACCCUUGACCCCCCCCCACCCCCCCUUUACAUUAAUCUACAAUUAAGAUGCCCUACUAGUGAGUUGUACUGGGCCUGCACACUUGUGAACUUCACCAACUCCAGCACUACAUCUCUCGAGACGAUCAUCCAACAGUAGGUCUGGGGCGGCAGGGUAGCCUAGUGGUUAGAGUGUUGGGCUAGUAACUGAAAGGUUGUAAGUUCAAAUCCCCGAGCUGACAAGGUACAAAUCCGUUCUGCCCCUUAACUCACUGUCAUUGAAAAUAAGAAUUUGUUCUGAACUGACCUAGUUAAAUAAAGGUAUAAUAAAAAAAUAAAAAAUUGGACUCCAAGGGAACAGUUGGGAGAGAUGUGAGACAUGACCUGCUAACUUCACUAGAAUGAUGGUUCAUUCCCAUUGUUUGGUCUGGUGUGGGUGGGUUUGAGUUGAGGGUGAUGGAUUCACAGACAAGAAAUAUGUAUAUCUGUUGCUCAUCCAUCAAAACUAUAUAAGGUUGAAGUCGGAAGUUAAUACACCUUAGUCAAAUACAUUUAAACUCACAAUUCCUGACAUUUAUUCCUAGUAAAAAUUCCCUGUCUUUGGUUCAGUUAGGAUCACCACUUUAUUUUCAGAAUGUGAAAUGUUAGAAUAAUGGUAGUGAUUUAUUUAAGCUUUUAUUUCUUUCAUCACAUUCCCAGUGGGUCAGAAGUUUACAUACACUCAAUUAGUAUUUGGUAGCAUUGCCUUUAAAUUGUUUCAUUUGGGUCAAACGUUUUAUGUAGCCUUCAUCAAGCUUCCCACAAUACGUUGGGUGAAUUUUGGCCCAUUCCUCCUGACAGAGCUGGUGUAACGGAGUCAGGUUUGUAGGCCUCCUUGCUCGCACACACUUUUUCAGUUCUGCCCACAAAUUGUCUAUAGGACUGAGGUCAGGGCUUUGUGAUGGCCACUCCAAUACCUUUACUUUGUUGUCCUUAAGCCAUUUUGCCACAACUUCGGAAGUGUGCUUGGGGUCAUUGUCCAUUUGGAAGACACAUUUGUGACCAAGCU